AUGAAGGUGAACAUGGAGGCCCAACGCGUGUGGGACGCCAUCGAGGGAGGCGGGAGCUUCAGCCAGGACAGGGCGGCGCUUGCGGCAAUUCUGCGAGCCGUGCCGGAGGAGAUGCACUCCACGCUUGCUGUGAAGGCGACGGCAAAGGAGGCAUGGGAUGCCAUCAAGAUCAUGCGGGUCGGCGAUGCCCGCGUCCGUGAGGCCAAGGCGCAGACUCUCCUCAAGGAGUUUGAUGUCGUCCGCAUGAGGAGCGGCGAGACCCUCGACGAGCUCGCCAUGCGCAUGAACGGGAUCGCUAACAAGCUGCGCAGGCACGGCGAGAACCUCGACAAGGUGAAGGUCGUGAAGAAGCUUCUCCGCAUCGUGCCGUCCAAGUAUACCCAGGUAGCUAUUGCCAUUGAGCAGCUUCUUGAUCUUAAAACCAUAUCCAUGGAAGAGCUUGUGGGAAGGCUCAAAACGGCGGAGGACCGGAGCGAAUUGGACGAGGGCGCCAGCAACUACGACCACGGUGGUGGGAGUCGCCUGCUCCUCACGGAGGAGGAGUGGCUUGCUUGCUACCGCAGCGGCACCGGCAAGAAGAAGAGAAACUUCGACAUUUGCAAGGUCCGCUGCUACACUUGCCAAGAGUACGGGCAUUACUCCAGGGACUGUAUCAAGCCAAAGAAGGAGCGGGCGCUUCUCGCCGACAACAAGUCGGGGCUGUACUGA
rnacentral:rRNA from 1 species